UCACAGAGCUUACCACUGGGCAUGGGCACGUUAUGGGCAGCCUCAUCUGUCCAACUAUUCCAUGGAGCCAUGGCAGAGGAUAUGACAGCGGACAGCUUACUACAGGGCAUUGGUGGAGGGUUGUGGUCCGCCUCAUUUGGCCUGUCCUGGCCUGCUCCAAGUUGAGCCAUUGCUAAAAAAAAAAAGACAGCUUUGGAGUGGUGGUGGUGGUGGAGUUGGUGCUGGUGGCUGAGCCCUUGCAGCCUUUUUCAUUUUGGGUUUAGGUGGAGGGGGCGCUGUGUCUGAAAUCUCUUCGGACGAAGAGUAUCGAGGGUUUUUUCUGCAACAGAAAUGAGUUUCAUCAACAGAUUCAUAGAAAGAUAGUACACA